rnacentral:rRNA from 1 species
GGAGUUAGCCGGUGCUUCUUCUGCGAGUAACGUCACAGAUGUAAGGUAUUAACUUACACCCUUUCCUCCUCGAUGAAAGUGCUUUACAACCCGAAGGCCUUCUUCACACACGCGGCAUGGCUGCAUCAGGGUUUCCCCCAUUGUGCAAUAUUCCCCACUGCUGCCUCCCGUAGGAGUCUGGGCCGUGUCUCAGUCCCAGUGUGGCUGAUCAUCCUCUCAGACCAGCUAGGGAUCGUCGCCUAGGUGAGCCUUUACCUCACCUACUAGCUAAUCCCACCUGGGCUUAUCCAUCAGCGCAAGGCCCGAAGGUCCCCUGCUUUCCCCCGUAGGGCGUAUGCGGUAUUAGCAGUCGUUUCCAACUGUUAUCCCCCACAAAUGGGCAAAUUCCCAGGCAUUACUCACCCGUCCGCCGCUCGUCAUCUUCAAAAGCAAGCUUUUGAAAUGUUACCGCUCGACUUGCAUGUGUUAGGCCUGCCGCCAGCGUUCAAUCUGAGCCAGGAUCAAACUCUGA